GCCCUGCUCUGGCCUCCUUGGCCAGCGUCCUGGUCCUGGUCCUGGUCCUGCUGCCUCUGGC
ensembl:miRNA